UAGGGAAUCUUCCACAAUGGACGAAAGUCUGAUGGAGCAACGCCGCGUGAGUGAAGAAGGGUUUCGGCUCGUAAAACUCUGUUGUUAAAGAAGAACAUAUCUGAGAGUAACUGUUCAGGUAUUGACGGUAUUUAACCCGAAAGCCACGGCUAACUACGUGCCAA
rnacentral:rRNA from 1 species